AUACGGAGGGUGCAAGCGUUGUUCGGAAUUAUUGGGCGUAAAGAGCAUGUAGGCGGACUAUUAAGUCUGGUGUGAAAGCCCGGGGCUCAACCCCGGAAGUGCAUUGGAUACUGGUAGUCUUGAGUAUGGGAAAGGAAAGUGGAAUUCCGAGUGUAGGAGUGAAAUCCGUAGAUAUUCGGAGGAACACCAGUGGCGAAGGCGGCUUUCUAGACCAAUACUGACGCUGAGAUGCGAAAGCGUGGGGAGCGAACAGGAUUAGAAACCCCAGUAGUCC
rnacentral:rRNA from 1 species